rnacentral:misc_RNA from 1 species
UGCAACAGCACAUGUCACUUCCCACAA